rnacentral:rRNA from 1 species
GACGAACGCUGGCGGCGUGCUUAACACAUGCGAGUCGAACGGAAAGGCCCUGCUUUUGUGGGGUGCUCGAGUGGCGAACGGGUGAGUAACACGUGAGUAACCUGCCCUUGACUUUGGGAUAACUUCAGGAAACUGGGGCUAAUACCGGAUAGGAGCUCCUGCUGCAUGGUGGGGGUUGGAAAGUUUCGGCGGUUGGGGAUGGACUCGCGGCUUAUCAGCUUGUUGGUGGGGUAGUGGCUUACCGAGGCUUUGACGGGUAGCCGGCCUGAGAGGGUGACCGGCCACAUUGGGACUGAGAUACGGCCCAGACUCCUACGGGAGGCAGCAGUGGGGAAUAUUGCACAAUGGGCGGAAGCCUGAUGCAGCAACGCCGCGUGCGGGAUGACGGCCUUCGGGUUGUAAACCGCUUUCGCCUGUGACGAAGCGUGAGUGACGGUAAUGGGUAAAGAAGCACCGGCUAACUACGUG